UUUAACGGCCGCGGUAUCCUAACCGUGCAAAGGUAGCGUAAUCACUUGUCCCUUAAAUAGAGACUAGUAUGAACGGCUAAAUGAGGAUAGAUCUGUCUCCUUUAACAAAUCAGUGAAACUGAUCCACCAGUACAAAAGCUGGAAUAAUAUCAUAAGACGAGAAGACCCUGUGGAGCUUUAAAUUUAACCCAAACAAUAAGACAAAAAUUGGUACAUGGCUAAAAAUUUUAAGUUGGGGCGACUUCGGAAAAAAACUAAACUUCCGAGCAUAAGACUAUGUCAUACCAAGACCUACGAGUCUAAGCCAAAAUUGACCCAGUAAUACUGAUAAACGAACCAAGUUACCCCAGGGAUAACAGCGCAAUCUUCUUCAAGAGUUCCUAUCGACAAGAAGUUUACGACCUCGAUGUUGGAUCAGGACACCCAAAUGGUGUAGCCGCUAUUAAAGG
rnacentral:rRNA from 1 species